rnacentral:lncRNA from 1 species
AAGACAUUCGCAUCUGUAUCUAUGUCGUAUACCUAGGGUAGUCAUUUCUGGUUGGCCUACGUGUCCUAAUUCUUCGGUAGUAGGUAAGCUCCUCCAUCCUGACAAUCAACAAAAGAAAGGAACCCAAAAGGUAAGUGCUCAAGCCGCCUUAACAAACUACAAGAGCACCUUCUUCUGUUUUUGAAUACCAUCCCAACUUAGACAUCAAAGAAUAUUCCAUCGGAUACGCUCCAAUCGGAGAACUUCUUUAUUUGUGUUAUUUCAAGUCAGAGUGUAGCCACCCAACGAGGAUCCCAGUAGCGGUCGUAUGCCUCACAUCCUCUCCAAUCCUGACCGGAGCAAACGAC